GCCCAGGCAACAUAUAAAAGAGGAGAAGUUCCGCGCGUGGCCCAGUGGGAAGCGGGACGCGAAGUGCUGUCGGCAGCGAUACUGAAGAGAAAGUUUUAGAUCCCGAGUGAAUCUAUCUUUUGAGUCUGUAAUCGCUCUGCCAACAUGCCCGGCCACGUUAAGAAGAGCACGGGUCCCGACCCCGAUCCCACUGAAUACCUUUUCAUCUCUCGGGAGCAGAGGAUGAAGGAUCAGGCGAAGCCUUAUGAUCCUAAGAAGUCCUACUGGUGUCCUGAUCCCGAUGAGGGCUUCGUCGAGUGUGAGCUUCAAGGUCCGAAGGGAGACAAGCUGGUAACAGUCAAGGUUCCCAGCGGCGAGAUGAAGGACUUCAAGAAGGAGCAGGUCGGACAGGUCAACCCUCCCAAGUACGAGAAGUGUGAGGAUGUGUCCAACCUGACCUUCCUCAACGAUCCCUCCGUCUUCUACGUCCUCAAGUCCCGUUACCAGGCCAAGCUUAUCUACACCUACUCUGGUCUCUUCUGUAUCGCCGUCAACCCCUACAAGCGUUACCCCAUCUACACCAACCGUGCCGUCAAGAUCUACAUGGGCAAGAGGCGUAAUGAGGUGCCCCCUCAUCUCUUCGCCAUCUGCGACGGUGCUUACCAGAACAUGAGCCAAGAACGCCAGAACCAGUCUAUGCUUAUCACCGGUGAGUCUGGUGCCGGUAAGACUGAGAACACGAAGAAGGUGCUGUCUUACUUCGCCAAUGUGGGUGCCAGCGAGAAGAAAGAAGGCGAAAAUAAACAGAACCUGGAAGACCAGAUCAUCCAAACCAACCCUAUCCUUGAGGCCUAUGGUAACGCCAAGACUACACGUAACGACAAUUCAUCUCGUUUCGGUAAAUUCAUUCGCGUCCACUUCGCUCCCAACGGCAAGCUUUCCGGCGCUGAUAUCGAGGUCUACCUGCUGGAGAAGGCUCGUGUCAUCUCCCAGUCCCCCGCCGAGCGAGGCUACCAUAUCUUCUACCAGCUCAUGUGCGACCAGAUUGAUUAUAUGAAGAAGAUGUGCUUAUUGUCCGAUGAUAUUUACGACUACCAUUACGAGGCUCAGGGCAAGGUUACCGUCCCAUCAAUUGACGACAAGGAAGACAUGCAGUUCACCCAUGAAGCCUUCGAUAUCCUGAACUUCUCUAACGAAGAAAGGGAUAACUGCUACAAGAUCACUGCUAGUGUCAUGCACCAUGGUAACAUGAAGUUCAAGCAAAGGGGUCGUGAGGAGCAGGCUGAACCUGAUGGCACUGAGGCUGGAGAAAUUGUUGCCAAGUUGCUCGGUGUUGACGCCGAGGAGCUCUACAGGAACUUCUGCAAGCCCAAGAUCAAGGUCGGUGCCGAGUUCGUCACCAAGGGUAUGGGCGUCGAUGCUGUCAACUACAACAUCGGUGCCAUGGCCAAGGGUCUCUUCUCGCGUGUGUUCUCAUGGCUCGUCAAGAAGUGUAACAUGACACUCGAGACUGGCCAGACUCGCGCCAUGUUCAUCGGUGUGCUCGAUAUUGCUGGCUUUGAAAUCUUCGACUUCAACGGUUUCGAGCAGAUCUGCAUCAACUUCUGUAACGAGAAGCUGCAGCAGUUCUUCAACCAUCACAUGUUCGUGCUGGAACAGGAAGAAUACGCAAAGGAGGGUAUUGUGUGGCAGUUCGUCGACUUCGGCAUGGAUUUGCAGGCUUGCAUUGAACUCUUCGAGAAGAAAAUGGGUCUCCUCUCCAUCCUUGAGGAAGAGUCCAUGUUCCCCAAGGCCACUGACAAGACCUUCGAGGAGAAGCUGAACAACAACCAUCUCGGAAAAUCUCGUUGCUUCAUCAAGCCCAAACCUCCAAAGCCCGGCCAGCCUGAGAACCACUUUGCCAUUGUUCACUACGCUGGCACUGUGUCCUACAACCUGACUGGCUGGCUUGAGAAGAAUAAGGAUCCUCUCAACGACACCGUCGUCGACCAGCUCAAGAAGGCCUCCAACGCCCUCACAGUCGAGAUCUUCGCUGACCAUCCCGGCCAGUCUGGUGAUGCAGGCGGCAAAGGUAAAGGUGGCAAGCAACAGACCGGUUUCAAGACUGUAUCAUCUGGCUACAAGGAUCAGCUUGCCAACCUGAUGAAGACUCUCAACGCUACUCAUCCUCACUUCAUCCGUUGCAUUGUGCCCAACGAAUUCAAGAAGCCUGGCGCUGUCGAUGCUGGCCUCAUCAUGCAUCAACUUACCUGUAAUGGUGUACUUGAGGGCAUCCGUAUUUGUCAGAAGGGCUUCCCCAACAGGAUGCCUUAUCCUGACUUUAAACUACGAUACAACAUCCUGGCCGCCCAAGAGAUGCUCGAAGCGAAGGACGACAAGAAGGCAGCUGAAGCCUGCUUCCAAAGGGCCGGUCUUGAUCCCGAAUUGUAUCGCUGCGGUAACACCAAGGUAUUCUUCCGUGCCGGUGUCUUGGGUAGACUUGAGGAGAUCCGCGAAGACCGCGUGGUCAAGCUUCUCACCUGGUUCCAAGCAUGGGUUCGUGGUUACAUCAGCCGCAAAUUCUAUUCCAAGAUGCAGAAGCAGCGCACUGCUCUCCUCGUUGUGCAGCGCAACCUUAGGAAGUUUAAGAUCAUGCGUGCUUGGCUCUGGUAUGAACUGUGGAUCAAGCUCAAGCCUAAGCUCUGCGCAACUCGUGCUGAGGAUGAGAUCGCUAAGCUGGAAGAGAUUGCCGAGAAGGCCGAGGCUGAAUUCGAAAAGGAGGUCAAGGUCCGCGAAGAACUCGAAAUCAAGAAUGCCGCUCUUCUCGAGGAGCGAGCUGAGCUCAUGCUGGCUCUUGAAUCCUCCAAAGGCGGCAUGUCUGAAUACCUGGACAAACAAGCCAAACUGCAAGCACAGAAAGCAGAACUUGAAGGACAACUUAAUGAAACCUUGGAACGCCUUCGCAAAGAGGAAGAGGCACGCAACCAAAUCGCUAAUGGCAAGAAGAAAUGCGAACAAGAGGUUACAAACCUUAAGAAAGAUCUUGAGGAACUUGAACUUCUUGUUCAGAAGGGCGAGCAGGACAAGAUCACCAAAGAAGAGCAGAUCCACAACCUCAAUGAAGAGAUUGCUCAUCAAGAAGAACUCGUCACCAAGGUCAACAAGGAGAAGAAGCACCUUCAGGAAUGCAAUCAAAAGACUGCCGAGGAUAUCCAGUGUAUUGAGGACAAGUGCAACCACCUUAGCAAGAUGAAGACUAAGUUGGAGUCCACCCUUGACGAACUCGAGGAUUCUCUUGAGCGUGAGAAGAAGCUUCGUGCUGAGGUUGAGAAGUCCAAGAGGAAGGUAGAGGGUGACCUCAAACUGACUCAAGAAGCUGUUUCCGAUCUGGAACGUAACUACAAAGAACUCGAAGUGGCAGUAGAACGUAAGGACAAAGAGGUUGCUGCCAUUACAGCCAAAAUCGAGGAUGAACAAGCAUUGGUGUACAGGGACCAGAGGCAGAUCAAGGAACUCCAGUCUCGCCUUGAAGAACUCGAGGAAGAAGUCGAACAUGAACGUCAGGCACGCAGCAAGGCUGAAAAGGCCAAGACUCUCCUUUCACGUGAACUGGGAGACCUUAGUGAGCGACUGGACGAGGCCGGCGGUGCCACAGCCUUGAGUGAAGCGAAGUGACGCGUAAGAAGCAUAAUGACGCUGUAGCUGAGAUGUCCGAACAGAUUGAUUACCUUAAUAAGAUGAAAGCUAGAGCUGAGAAGGACAAAGAAGCCAUGAAACGUGACGCUGAUGACGCCAAGGCUUCCAUGGAUUCCCUCCUUCGUGAUAAGACCGCUGCUGAGAAGACCACCAAACAGCUUCAGCACCAAUAUGGUGAGAUUUGCGCCAAGCUUGAUGAAGUUAACCGCACUUUGAGCGACUAUGAUGCCACCAAGAAGAAGCUUGCCUGCGAAAAUGCUGAUCUCAUUCGUCAGCUGGAGGAGGCUGAGAGCCAGGUCAGCCAGCUCUCCAGGGUCAAGCUUUCCCUUACGAAUCAGCUCGAUGACACCAGGAAACUCUCUGAAGAAGAGGGCAGGGCACGUGCCACACUCCUUGGUAAGUUCCGCAACUUGGAACACGACAUUCAGACUCUUCGUCAACAACUUGAUGAGGAGAACGAAGCCAAGGGGGAUGUUCUGCGCAUGCUCUCCAAGGCCAAUGCCGAGGCUCUCAUGUGGCGCUCCAAGUACGAGUCUGAGGGCGUUGCCCGCGCAGAGGAAAUUGAGGCUGCGCGCAUGAAGCUCGCAGCUCGUCUCGAGGAAGCCGAAAUGCAGAUUGAGUCUCUCAAUGUUAAGAAUUUGCAUCUGGAGAAGACCAAGAUACGUGCUGCUGCUGAGCUGGAUGACCUCCAAGUCGCUGCUGAACGUGCACAGACUCUGGCCAACUCUGCUGAGAAGAAACAGAAGAACUUUGAUAAGAUCAUCUCCGAGUGGAAGCUGAAGGUCGAAGACCUUGCUGCUGAGUUUGAUGCUUCUCAGAAGGAAUGCCGCAACUACGCCACCGAACACUUCCGACUGAAGGCUGCCAAUGAUGAAAACAUUGAACAACUCGAUGCUAUACGCCGCGAGAACAAGAAUCUUAAUGAUGAAAUCAGAGAUUUGAUGGACCAGAUCGGUGAGGGCGGCCGAGCGUACCAUGAGGCUCAGAAGAACGCCAAGCGCCUUGAACUUGAGAAGGAAGAGCUUCAGGCUGCUCUUGAGGAAGCCGAGGCUGCCCUAGAACAAGAGGAGAACAAGGUCCUCCGAACACAGCUUGAGCUCAGCCAGGUCAGGCAAGAGAUUGACAGGCGUGUUCAGGAGAAGGAGGAGGAAUUCGACAACACUCGUAAGUGUCACCAAAGGGCUCUUGAUUCCAUGCAAGCUUCUCUUGAGGUUGAAGCCAAGGGUAAGGCCGAGGCUCUUCGCAUAAAGAAAAAGCUCGAGUCCGAUAUUAACGAGCUUGAAAUUGCCCUUGACCACGCCAAUAAGGCCAAUUCUGAUCUUCAAAAACACUACAAGAAGAUCCAGGAUGAAAUAAAGAGUAUGGAGUCCCGUGUUAAGGAAGAGCAACGUCUUGCCUCCGGGUACCGCGAGCAGUAUGGUAUUGCCGAACGCCGUUUCAACGCCCUCUACGGUGAGCUGCAAGAAUCCCGAACUCUCCUGGAACAGUCUGACCGCGGUCGUCGUCAUGCUGAGACUGAGCUCAACGAUGCACGCGAACAGAUCAACAACCUCACCACCCAGAAUGCUGCUCUCACUGCCUCCAAAAGGAAACUUGAGGGUGAAAUGCAGACCCUGCAGGCUGACCUUGAGGAGAUGCUCAGCGAAGCCAAGAACUCUGAGGAGAAGGCGAAGAAGGCCAUGCUAGAUGCUGCUCGCCUUGCUGAUGAGCUCCGUUCUGAACAAGAGCACGCCACUAACCAAGAGAAGAUGCGUAAGGCCUUGGAAGGUACCGUCAAGGAUCUCCAGACCCGUCUUGAGGAAAGUGAGGCCGCUGCCCUUAAGACUGGUAAGAAGGCUGUCAGCGAUUUUGAAGCUCGCAUUCGCGAACUCGAGGCUUCCCUGGACGAUGAGACCCGUCGUCACGCUGAUGCCCAGAAGAACCUGAGGAAGUGCGAGAGGCGCAUCAAGGAGCUCGCCUUCCAGACUGACGAGGACAAGAAGAACCACGACAGGAUGCAGGACCUCGUCGAUAAGCUCCAGCAGAAGAUCAAGACCUACAAGCGCCAGAUCGAGGAGGCUGAGGAGAUCGCCGCCCUCAACCUGGCCAAGUUCCGCAAGGCUCAACAAGAGCUUGAGGAAUCUGGCUGAAGUAUACUGUCAAAUACAUCUAGACAUAUGCCAGAUGUUCAUAACAAAUAAACAGUAAUAAAUGC